rnacentral:rRNA from 1 species
CUGGUUGAUCCUGCCGGACCUGACUGCUAUCGGAUUGAUACUAAGCCAUGCGAGUCAUUGUAGCAAUACAAGGCAGACGGCUCAGUAACGCGUAGUCAAUCUACCCUAUGGACGGGAAUAACCUCGGGAAACUGAGAAUAAUGCCCGAUAGAACAUUAUGCCUGGAAUGGUUUAUGUUUCAAAUGAUUUAUCGCCAUAGGAUGGGACUGCGGCCUAUCAGUUUGUUGGUGAGGUAAUGGCCCACCAAGACUAUUACAGGUACGGGCUCUGAGAGGAGUGGCCCGGAGAUGGGUACUGAGACACGGACCCAGGCCCUAUGGGGCGCAGCAGGCGAGAAAACUUUGCAAUGUGCGAAAGCACGACAAGGUUAAUCCGAGUGGUUUCUGCUAAAGAAACCUUUUGUCAGUCCUAGAAACACUAACGAAUAAGGGGUGGGCAAGUUCUGGUGUCAGCCGCCGCGGUAAAACCAGCACCUCAAGUGGUCAGGAUGAUUAUUGGGCCUAAAGCAUCCGUAGCUCGUUUUGUAAGUUUUCGGUUAAAUCCAUACGCUUAACGUAUGGGCUGCCGGGAAUACUGCAUAACUAGGAAGUGGGAGAGGUAGACGGUACUCGGUAGGAAGGGGUAAAAUCCUUUGAUCUAUUGAUGACCACCUGUGGCGAAGGCGGUCUACCAGAACACGUUCGACGGUGAGGGAUGAAAGCUGGGGGAGCAAACCGGAUUAGAUACCCGGGUAGUCCCAGCUGUAAACUAUGCAAACUCAGUGAUGCAUUGGCUUGUGGCCAAUGCAGUGCUGCAGGGAAGCCGUUAAGUUUGCCGCCUGGGAAGUACGUACGCAAGUAUGAAACUUAAAGGAAUUGGCGGGGGAGCACCACAAGGGGUGAAGCCUGCGGUUCAAUUGGAUUCAACGCCGGGA